GUACGUAGGGUGCAAGCGUUGUCCGGAAUUAUUGGGGCGUAAAGAGCUCGUAGGCGGUUUGUCGCGUCUGCUGUGAAAACGCGAGGCUCAACCUCGCGCCUGCAGUGGGUACGGGCAGACGUAGAGUGCGGUAGGGGAGAUUGGAAUUCCUGGUGUAGCGGUGGAAUGCGCAGAUAUCAGGAGGACACCGAAUGGCGAAGGCAGAUCUCUGGGCCGUAACUGACGCUGAGGAGCGAAAGCGUGGGGGAGCAACAGG
rnacentral:rRNA from 1 species